AUUGAACGCUGGCGGCAUGCCUUACACAUGCAAGUCGAACGGUAACAGGUCUUCGGACGCUGACGAGUGGCGAACGGGUGAGUAAUACAUCGGAACGUGCCCAGUCGUGGGGGAUAACUACUCGAAAGAGUAGCUAAUACCGCAUACGAUCUGAGGAUGAAAGCGGGGGACCUUCGGGCCUCGCGCGAUUGGAGCGGCCGAUGGCAGAUUAGGUAGUUGGUGGGACAAAAGCUUACCAAGCCGACGAUCUGUAGCUGGUCUGAGAGGACGACCAGCCACACUGGGAGUGAGAAACGGCCCAGACUCCUACGGGAGGCAACAGUGGGGAAUUUUGGACAAUGGGCGAAAGCCUGAUCCAGCAAUGCCGCGUGCAGGAUGAAGGCCUUCGGGUUGUAAACUGCUUUUGUACGGAACGAAAAAGCUCCUUCUAAUACAGGGGGCCCAUGACGGUACCGUAAGAAUAAGCACCGGCUAACUACGUGCCAGCCGCCGCCGUAA
rnacentral:rRNA from 1 species